GACGAACGCUGGCGGCGUGCUUAACACAUGCAAGUCGAACGGUGAAGCGCCUUCCUUUUUGGUGGGUGUGGAUGAGUGGCGAACGGGUGAGUAACACGUGAGUAACCUGCCCCCUUCUUCUGGAUAACCGCAUGAAAGUGUGGCUAAUACGGGAUAUUCUGGGUCUGUCGCAUGAUGGGUCUGGGAAAGAUAUUGUUUCGGUGGGGGAUGGGCUCGCGGCCUAUCAGCUUGUUGGUGGGGUGAUGGCCUACCAAGGCGGUGACGGGUAGCCGGCCUGAGAGGGUGGACGGUCACACUGGGACUGAGACACGGCCCAGACUCCUACGGGAGGCAGCAGUGGGGAAUAGUGCACAAUGGGCGCAAGCCUGAUGCAGCGGCGCCGCGUGAGGGAUGGAGGCCUUCGGGUUGUGAACCUCUUUCGCCAGUGAAGCAGGCCUGCCUCGUUUGUGGGUGGGUUGACGGUAGCUGGAUAAGAAGCGCCGGCUAACUACGUG
rnacentral:rRNA from 1 species